CAGAAAAGACACCGUAGAUAAUACUUCAAAUUCAUUAUCUCUGUGAGUGUCAUGACAUUUUUGGCUUCUUAAGUUUAAAAGAGUACCGACGCUUUCACCGCACGUCACGCAGAAAAGCAGGAAAAGAUAAGGCAAUUCGCUGGAACAUUUUUGGGCCAUAAGCACACACAAGAAGGCUGUAAAAAUGAGCAUCUUUAGCAUUUACUGCAUCGUUACUGCCGUCGUCUUCAUGAGUUUCAGAAUCGAUUGGCAGCCUUCGAGCAAUAUGUUUGCUGAAGCGGGAAGAGUGAUAUUUGGCCCCAAAAAUUGCUGGAGAUUUAAAUGCUGGGGUGGAAUGUGCACAGGCGGUGCUCCCACCAAUUGUGAAUGCCCCACUCCUAUUGAAGCGUUGUUUGGAAUCAAGAAUUGUCGAUGAAGAAAUCUUUGAUCAACCUGUACUAUCUUAAAAUACACGUUGUUGAAAGAAA